UUCCAUUGAACAAGUUGCACUCCAUUGUUCACAUAUACAUGAGGUGUACAAAAGAUGACAAAGCUCUCCAGAAAUUAAUAUUACUGACUUCUAGGAUAUAUCAUUAGUUUAAAAAGCAAAGCACAAACCAGGAUGUAUAGCACACUGCUUUCUGUGUUAGAAAGGGAAAUCAGAAAACUUAUACAUAUCUGCUUAUUUUUGCAACAAGAAACAGAACUGAAAAAAAAAUAAUAAUAAUAAAAAUAAUAAAACUGGUUACCUACAAGGGAAGCUGGGGAAUGGUGUAGAGAGGAAGGGGAUGUUGUUACACUUCUGAUACACCUUUCUGUAAAAUUUGACUUUUUUAUAGGCACUCAAAAAUAUCUAGCUAAAUAAAAAUGAACAAAGGGAACUAAUUUUAAACAAAUGAAUCCAACUGUACUUUAGAAGAAACUGUCAAAGAAGGUGGUAAAUAUAAAACCCAAAAAAGCCCCAAUCCAAAUAACUUUUUAAGAGUUUGCAACCACAUACCCUCAAUAUAAGGGAAUCUCAUCUUGAACUUCUUAUCUAGGUUUGCUUUCUGCAAUAGUAUGGAAAUACAAUUUCUAAAAAUUAUAGAAUUAAGCAAGAAAUAUAUGUAUUAACAUUGCUGAGAACAAGGGUUCAUACUGAGAUAGACGGAAAAUACGGAUUUAGAAUCAGAACAGAAAGAACUCUGGAGUUAUAAAACUGAAAAUAUCAGUAUGAAAUUGUAACUUUAAAAUAUUUACAUAUACUUUUUAGUUACAGCCAUUGAAAAUUCCUAGAAGCAAUGACACUUUAAUAGCAAUGAGCAUACCUAGCACCCAAAUCUUGGUUUUUAAAUAUCCCACUCAAAAUGAACCAAAACCCUUGGAGAACUGGCUGGUUCUAGACUUGGGAAGAGAUAAGUCUAAAAUAACUUGAGACAGAAAGUAAGUGCCACUGACCAAAUCUGGAACAGUUUGAACAGUAAAAUAAGUAAGUUCUACAAUGGGUCAUGACCCUUUAUAAAGUAAGAAUCCGUGAGUCCAAACUGAUCACAUAUAAGUACAUACAUACACAGGAGUAAAGGGAGGGUUAUUUCUUCUAAGAGAAUCCUGGUUGUUAAAAUAGAGGGAGUGGUAGAACUAUAUGAAAAAUCAUAAUUUUUCCACUAUCAGAGUAAAGACUAUUUGGGGCAAGAAUCAUCAAUAGAUGCCAAAUCUAGGGAUGAAGUAUGAUGAGGAUCCAGAUAUCUAUACGAUCUUAAAAUUAAAAUGUCUCCCCACAGAUGCUUAUUAGUUGCAAUGGGAAAAAUGUUAACUAUAUAUUGAAGAAGCCCGACCAAACUUGGGCCAGAUUAUCACAAUUAAUAAUGGGCAGAUAAAUAUUGUGAGCCUCCAGAUGUGACUUAAGUAGGGCACAGUUGUAUAAUGUUCCAACUAAAAAUUCAUUACCUCAAUUUCAUCAUGAGAACCCAUCCGAAAUCCAAAUUAAAGAACAUCUCAUAAAAUAACUAGCCUGUAUUCUCAAGCAUGACAAGUCAUAAGAGACAAAGAAAGGCUGAGAAACUGAAACAAAUUAGAAGAUUCUAAGAGAUAGGACAACUAAACACAAUAAAUGAUCAUAAACUGGAUCCUCCGCCAAGAAAAAUACGGUAUUAAUGGAACAGCUGACAAAAUUAGAAAAUGAACUAUAGAUAAAAGCAUUGUAUCACUGUUAAAUUUUCCGUAUUUUAUAAGUGUGCUGUCGUCACAGAAAUAUACAUUAAAGUAUUAAUGUAUAAAGGGGCAUACAACCUAUUCUCAAAUAUUCUCUGUAUUGUUCUUGCAACUUUUCUGUAAGUUUGAAAUUAUUUUAAGUGAAUUAAACUUAAGAGAAUACAUAAUAAAAUAGGCCAGUAAACCAAAAAAGUUGUGGGUUUUCCCCAAAAAACAGUUAUCAGUUUAAAUCCCAUUUCUCUACAGACUACCUCAUUCUAUAUCCUAAAUUGGAUCAGGACACAAAUACCAGAUUUCAAAUAGUUGUCUUAAUCUUUAAGGACUGCUGAAAGAAAUUAAUGAUACAUGUUAAAUAUUAAAGAAAAAAAGGGACCUUAUGUUAACUUUGGUGAGCUUUGGGAAUUUAAAUUGGUAACAAUCACACUUUUGUUAAACUUUCCUAUAGAAAAAGUUAUACAAUGUGCAAGGUAUAUUAUAAUAAACAAGAAUGUUAAUAUAUAACAUAAUAGCAAACAAAAAAGGAUGAAAAUCUAAAGAUCUAACACUAGAGAAAAAAUUAUAUUACUAUAGAAUACAAGUUUUUUAAAGAAUAAAGUAUACCAUUAAUACAAAAAUAUGGAUAUUCUAACUACAUGAUAUAAUACAAACUAGAAACAAAAAGUUGCUGAUAUAUAUAUAUAUGUUUCUAGGGCAGAUCAGAAUUGUAUUAUGUGUUCAUGUAUGUAUGUGUCCAGAAACAAAGGCUUGAAAGGACAUACCCGGUAAGAUACAGUUACCAGCUAUUGUCCUUGGGACAGAGCAAGUAGGGGGAAGGGCACUACUAUACUGUUUUACUCUUCAAGUUUUUUUUCUUAAAAGAUCAUGUACUAGUUUUACAAUUUUAAAGAAAUUGGGAGAAAAACUUUGUAUUCUGAGAAACAAGAUUUCAAUGUACUUUGAUGAAAAAUUAUUUCAGCGAAGAACAUAAAAUAUAAUAGAUAUCAGAACUAUAACAUUCUUGUCACUUAACUAUAACAAGAUCUCUUUUUCUGUUCAAGUACUGUUAUACUAUUGGUUCCAUGUUUUUAAUUUUUAACAAAGCCAAUGUUGAUAUAAGAAACAACCAAACCUAUAAGGGAUUUUUUAUAACAGUUUAUUUCAGCCCAAACUGACAAUUGCUGGGAAGCAAGACUUCAAAUGCUCCACAGAAUGUCAGUUUGCAGUUUCUUUUAUGUUUCUUAUGAAAUUAAGAUUACAUGAAGGUGGAAGAAAGCAAGAAGAUAAAUGAAUUACAGGGUGGUAAACAAAAUUAUCUGCCCUCUAGAAGCUGGUUAUUUCAAAGAUGUGUUAAUCUUAGAUGCAAAAAACAAUGGACAGGGCUCGCUAAACGCAAAGGUAAAUCUUUUACUAAGUUAUAUACCUACCAUGCCUGCUCAUUUUUAUGAUCAGAUCACCCUAUGAGGUUACUUUCCAGAACCCCUUUUUCAUCCACACCAACAGCUCUUUUUUGGAAAUAGGUAAGAUAUGAAUCCUAAAUCAAAAAACCCUGGUUACUUAAUGAUAGUAACAAAAAUUUUUAAAAGCAAAUAUCCACACAAUGUUUUAAGAAAGUUUAUUCUGAGAAUUUCACUUGAUAGCCAAACCAAACUGUGAUUUAAUACAUGAGAUACUUUAGAACUGUAAGUGGUUUAUUAUACUAGAAAGACAUAACUUCUUAAACUCUGAAUUACUACCUUGUUAUUCAUUUUAUAAAUAGGGAAGAUUAUCAUCAUAUGGUGUCCUUUCACUAACACUAUACGCAAGACUGUGUGAAUAGCUGAGAAUUAAAUUCAUCAAAUAUUUAUUAAAUUGCUGGCACAGAAUGUUUGUGGCACUGUACACUGGUCAUUCAAAGACAGUCCCUCAGUCUUACAAAAAAAGUCUUACAAAAUAGAAAAAGAAGUUUAUUUAAAUUGAAUGCAAUAAAUUAAACUUUGGACUCCAUCUAGAAUCUAAACUAUUCCUUUAAUUAGGUAAUGUGGGUGACAAAUUCUUUCAGCCACUAUUUGCAAUGUAGUUUUAAGUCACAUUCAAGGUACAUUUGUAAAUGAGUCAGAGAUAACUCUCUGAAAAGGCUCAUAUUACAUACUUUGAUAAGCAGCAGUUACACCCUUAAGUGACAAUCAUCGUUUUUGUGUUAAUGUUGGGAUUUUUUUUCCUCUCUUCUCCUUUACACAGAAGUCAAUCUCUAGGGACCCUUAGGAAACAAUUUUUUUUCAGGCCUCUAGAAUAGUAUCAGGAAUAUUAUCACUAAAAUUCAUGAGUGUAAAUCAAUUGGUAUGCACAUAAACCUGUUAAAGUAAUUCCUUAGGUACUCUCAAAUUCUGGUUACCUGAAGUGACACACAAGAAUGUAUAAGCUAAGCAUCUUGAGAUUGUUGUUUCCUUACAUCUAUGCUAAACACCUUGAGAAUGAUGUUUGCUUCCUUAUCUGGUGUACUAAAGGAAUGGUCACUUUUCCCUUUUCCAGAGUUCAACUGAGCAGAAUGUACAAGGCUGUGGGGAUAAACAGAUUGGGUCUCUAACUGGAGGAACUCAUAAUUUAGUGGGGAGUAUGCGUAUCAACUACAUGACAACAUCAUUAAGACCUAACUUUCAACAAAAGGAGGGAAAGAUCAAAGUAGUAGGAAAUGCUGCUCUUCAAGAAAUAACAUACAGCAUAUUCAAACAAAUAUUCAUCCAUUUUCAAAACUCUGAGUUAUCUGCAAGCACAGUACAAGGUGGAAAAACUGUGCUCUGAGGCAGGACCCUUGGUUUCCCGAUUCUAACACUGCAAUUGUGGGACUUAAGGCUUGUUGCUUAACCAGAUUUGGCAUCGGUUAUUUCCUCUAAAAGUGUCAGUAUUAUUUAACUAGCCUAAACUCAAAUCAUCUUCCCAGCAUAAACCAAAUUGUGUCUAGUGGCUUUCAGGUCUAAGAUGUGUUUUACCAACUCACUCCUCCAUCAGACUCCCCAAGUAAUCAUGACCCAGGGAAGCAAGGUGAGUAAGCUAGGUGAACUACAGUUUCUAAACCGAACUGUCCAUCAUCAAGAUAAUAAACUGAGACAGGCCCUAUAUUGCGCUUUAAACGUUGUGAGCUCAUAAAAUGUAUUGCACAGGCCACGAUAAUCUUAUAGAAAGAUGGGUCAAGAAUAACAAAAUCCUGCCUGUGUACCAUUCUAGUACAACAGCAGGGUGUUGUUUCCUACCUAGAAUCCGAGUUUCAGCUACUGGAACCACGCCUCCUGGAGAAAUCCACCAGAUAUUAGGAAAACCUCCCAAGAGGCUGGGAAGGAUCUCAGAUAAGACAAGUUCUCA